UACGAGGGGGGCAAGCGUUGUUCGGAAUUAUUGGGCGUAAAGGGUGCGUAGGCGGUUUGGUAAGUCUGAUGUGAAAUCUAUGGGCUCAACUCAUAGUCUGCAUCGGAAACUGCCGGGCUUGAGUGUGGGAGAGGUGAGUGGAAUUCCUGGUGUAGCGGUGAAAUGCGUAGAUAUCAGGAGGAACACCUGUGGCGAAAGCGGCUCACUGGACCAUAACUGACGCUGAUGCACGAAAGCUAGGGGAGCGAACAGG
rnacentral:rRNA from 1 species